ensembl:lincRNA
UCCUUUGGACGCCAGGGCUGUAAACUCAAGCGGGUUGUCGUUUCAAAUGAAAAGUUCUUGUGUAUCACACACUUGAUAACACUUCUGCCUAAGAAAUUAAACUCCCAGCUCUCUGUGGACAUCCCCAAUGGCUAAUCUUCAAUUGAACAUAUAAUACCUAAAAGAAGAAAUCAGUCAGCUUUCAAUAUCUCGGACUUUUUUGACAGAUCUCCAUAUUUCACUUCUGUAGCUCUGGCCCUACUUCUCUGCCAAUCAGCAGGAGCCUCUUCCACCAAGGAGAUCUGAAGUUCUUAUUCAUGAUCAUGUUUGAAACCAGAUCUAGAUAUGAAUUCAACUGUCAAACACUCCAGACUUCUCCUUGACUCCACUCAGAGGACAGGUGGUGCACCUCACCUUUCAUGUGGUCAGAUGUCCUACGACAAAAUGUUCACCAUGGCAUGGCCAAUGGCUCCGAUG